CUGAGGUUGUAAGUUUCUCCUUUUUUUAGGAAAACACACACAUCCCCCAAAUUCAUUCAUAAAAUCAAAGAGAUCCUAACCAUUGAUAUGAGGACUUCUAAAGAAUGUAGCAUAUUUUGGCCCACAUCUGGGACUGUGUUCUUUGAACUAAUAGGGAAAUAUUGCAUGCUGGCAGGUUUUAAUCGAGAAAUAUGUUUUCUCUUAAGGGCGAUUUGUCUAAUUGGCUGUAGAAAUGUUUUUUUCUCUGCUUCAGAAAGCUUUUUCCCAUUUUCUAACCAUACAACUUCCCCCCACCCCACUUCCUCCAUGGCCAAGGCUAAUGCUACAGAGUUCAGUAACUCUGUUCGGAAUGCUCUCAUUAAGCUGGACAAGGUUUCAGACUUGAACUCAACUUCAGACAAAGCACUUCACUUUUCUGCAACUACCUCCUCUAGAAAAUGCAUUGGAAGAGAUGAUCUCUGAGGUUUCCCAGUCUACCAUUUCUGAUCCAAAGCAAGGAUGGGUUUGGGGAUGGGAAGAGGGUAAAUCUAGAAAGUACAAAAUAGGGUUUUAGUUAUGGCUUCAUUUCAAGUCUCCCGCUUCCUAGGUCCUUUGUCUUUGGUGAGACUAGUUUGCCCAAAGAAUCUGUGUGUGUGUUUCUUCAUUCAAUGGUGGACACCUUCUGGAUUCCAAAGAAUUUAAUAUUUUGCUAUAAAAACAUAAAAUGUAGCUAUCACAUUAGACAGUCCAAAAAAUUUGUCUAUAUGGUUCUAAAUAUCUAGGUUUUGAAUGCAUCUUAAUGUUCAAAGAAAAUUUUCAGGUUGAUGUUUGAUAAAGAAAAGGUGAAAUCCAUGAGGUCACACAUAUGAACAGAGAAGCUAGUUCAGGUAAUUGCAUUAAAUUUGGAGAGCCAGACAAUUGGUUAGGUCAGGAAGCCAAAUGAGUCAUACUGACUCAUAUAUUCAUAUCAUUGCAAAGACAAUGCAUAUGGAAAGACUGUGUGAUCCGUUCUCAGACUGGGAUCAUUUCUAGUUUCAAAACCUUCAUUACCCUUAAUACCCUAGACAGGACACUGAUGUCAUUGACAGGAUGCUGCAGAAAAACAGGUGAAAAUAAACAUUGAUGUCCUUCCUCCACUCAGCAGUCGAACACCAAAGAAAAAAGAAGGCUAGUGGUUUAAAAGGCAUAAAACUUGCCACACGAGGAGGAAAAAGCCCUCUGGUCCACUCCAACUAUCACUUACCAAUGGCUAGAGCAUCUAUUUGAGUAGCAGCGUGGGACAGUUUAUUAAGAGACAUCACAGGACAAGGAACUUCCUUCCCUUUGGCUGAAGUGACCUCAGUCUUCUCCUCUCACCUUUGGGGAAGAAGAUUAGCCCAUUUUGCUUGUUUCCUUUGUCUCAUCUGUGGACCCGCCACCUUCUUCAUACAGGGCAGAAAAUAAGAAACUCAUAUUCUUCCGGAGUCUGGACACUUCCGGCGCUAGGGCUCAGAGCCCACGUGUCACCGUGGGUGACAGACACGGUUUAAAACUCUGUCUUCCUAAUUGUUAACAAAUGUCUCCUCUCCCGAGAGGGAGAGUGAGAAACAUGAGAAAGUGUGAGAACCAGCUCAUUGCUGGCCCGGGGACCUCGAGCCUGGGUGCACAUCAAAACCAACACCACAGACGUUUCAAGGCCAAGCUUGCUGUUCUGAGACUUUGUCCAAAUGCCUGGCUGCUGAGAUGAACAGUGACCAAGUAGAUUCCAGAAGGUUCACAGGACCUGCAUCUAUCUGCUGCCGCUGCUUCUCUGUGGCUCAUUCAAACCUCUGGUACAUAAAAAGGAUAUAAAAAGAUAAACUUUGAACCACCGGAGUAAAAACAUUUGUCUUGGGCUUGGGAUAACUAUUUAGGCCUGCAUGUUUUAAUUUGUUUCUCCCCAAGAUCUGUGUGUGCAAAGAACUCUACCCAUUCACAAUUUUCCCUCAUUCUUUCAUCAAAUAUUCUGAAGCACCUCAUAUCCCAGGAAUGCUGGCGUGUGGCUGUCUUAGUCUGUGGCUACUGCAGUGGCUAUUGCAUAUUAGUUGACUGCUUAAACAGUCAACCUAUAAAAUAUCUGUUCCAACCACACACCUCAACUAUCCAGAGCAACAAGGGCAAACACAACAGAUUGGGCAUUAAGCCUGUGCUGGUGGUUUUCCAUAAAGCCUCACAGAAGAAUGACAGGGACCACCAUAGGGGACUGAAGUGACUGAACAGGGAGCCAGAAUUCUAGAAACCCCACACCCACUUGAAUCAGAAUAGCCCUACUUAGCUCUUCCAUAAUUGUUGCUAUUAGUGUUUUAAUAUAUAUCGAACUUUGGUGCAAGAUUUCAUUUGAAGAAAAAGAAAACUCUAGACGAUACCUUAGUAUUAACAGAAAAGGUUCUAAUUUCAACACGAAGUUAUUUUACCACCUCCCAAACUCUGCCCUCUACAAAUAACA